UUUUAUAAUAAUAAUUAAUUAAAUUAUUACUUAAAUGGGUUAACCCAUUUAACAACUCAACCCAUCAAAUUAAAUGAGUUAUGGGUUGACCCAACUUAUUUUGUUAAAUAAGUUGGGUCAACCCAUAACUCAUUUAAUUUUAAACUCAUUUGAUUAUGAGUUGAGUUGAGUUGGGUUACCCAUUUUGACACCCCUAUAACCGGUAAUUCCGCUAAAAACAAAAUUACUAAAAUUCCAUAAUCUUUCAAAGGAGACAAUUUUAUAUAGUCAAGUGUCUACUUUUUAAA
rnacentral:sRNA from 1 species